rnacentral:lncRNA from 1 species
UCAUUGCGUACCGGUAAUCCUGCCUGUUGGGAUUUUCCGCAGGAUUGGGUUAGGAUUUACCAAAAGGAAAAAUAUUACAACCCUAUUUAGGCAUAUUCAAAACUAAAAGAGGAGCGGCGACGACGAGCCAAGAAAUGGACCUUUGUACAAAUCUUAGACUGUCUAACUUAGAAUUUUCCAUGUUUAGGUCUAAGGGCAAAAAAAAAAACAAAGAAAGAACGAAAAGAUCCAAGCAAAAGCGCAUUACAAACUAAACUAAAAGGAACAAGAAAAGGAAGUAGAAGGAAUUGGGUAUUUGCCUGAUGGAAGUGGAACGGGAAUCAGAGACGGACGGCCUCGGAGACAUCAUAUUGAGAUUUCCGUCUGCUCCCAGGGGUUUAAUGAGAGAUCAAACGAAGGAGAAGACAGCAGAACAAUUGGAUUUCUUCUUCCUUACUGCUGCCGCUGCUCGGCCUUCUUCGGACGAUUUCGAAGGGAAGACCCGAGGAUGGUCCGGGGUUCAAGAAACGGGCACGCGAAGCCAAUCUCGCGUGCGAGGCCUCUCCGAUUCCAUGUAAAGUGAAUCCUGUAGCACGUGAGAUGCUCUGAGUUCAGCCUUCUUCAGGGGUAAGCCACCGGAGAUCCAAAAAAAAACAAACCCUACAUUUCAACGAGAUACUUGCGGGCAUGAAAGCUAAC